GAUGAACGCUAGCGGCAGGCCUAAUACAUGCAAGUCGGACGGGAUUUGGGAGCUUGCUCCUAAUGAGAGUGGCGCACGGGUGCGUAACACGUAUGUAACCUACCUUAGUCAGGGGGAUAGCCUCUCGAAAGAGAGAUUAAGACCGCAUAACAUUAUUGAGUGGCAUCAUUUAAUAAUCAAAUAUUUAUAGGACUAAGAUGGGCAUGCGGAACAUUAGCUAGUUGGCAGGGUAACGGCCUACCAAGGCUACGAUGUUUAGGGGAUCUGAGAGGAUGGCCCCCCACACUGGUACUGAGACACGGACCAGACUCCUACGGGAGGCAGCAGUAAGGAAUAUUGGUCAAUGGGCGGAAGCCUGAACCAGCCAUGCCGCGUGCAGGAAGACGGCCCUACGGGUUGUAAACUGCUUUUAUACGGGAAUAAACCUACUUACGUGUAAGUAGCUGAAUGUACUGUAAGAAUAAGGAUCGGCUAACUCCGUGCCAGCCGCCGCAGUAA
rnacentral:rRNA from 1 species